rnacentral:rRNA from 1 species
GACGAACGCUGGCGGCGUGCUUAACACAUGCCAGUCGAACGGAAAGGCCCUGCUUUUGUGGGGUGCUCGAGUGGCGAACGGGUGAGUAACACGUGAGUAACCUGCCCUUGACUUUGAGAUAACUUCAGGAAACUGGGGCUAAUACCGGAUAGGAGCUCCUGCUGCAUGGUGGGGGUUGGAAAGUUUCGGCGGUUGGGGAUGGACUCGCGGCUUAUCAGCUUGUUGGUGGGGUAGUGGCUUACCAAGGCUUUGACGGGUAGCCGGCCUGAGAGGGUGACCGGCCACAUUGGGGCUGAGAUACGGCCCAGACUCCUACGGGAGGCAGCAGUGGGGAAUAUUGCACAAUGGGCGGAAGCCUGAUGCAGCAACGCCGCGUGCGGGAUGACGGCCUUCGGGUUGUAAACCGCUUUCGCCUGUGACGAAGCGUGAGUGACGGUAAUGGGUAAAGAAGCACCGGCUAACUACGUG